UCAUCCUCGAGGGUCGGGAGCAGAGCUACCCCCCCUCCACCCUCCCAGCACAUAUCGUUCUUAGUCUACAUCGCGAACGGUCCAGAACGCAAAAUGCCUACAUCAUUUUCCGUCGUUUUAUCUUUACGUUAGCGAUGUCGACGAGUAUUCUGUGCGGUUUGGCCUCCGACCAUUUGAAGAUAACUAACGAACCUAACCUACCUGUAUGAUUUAAAAAAGUGGUCAUUUCGCGAUGUAGACUAAAAGCGAUAUAAGCAAAAUAUUACACUAGUCAUUUUGCGUUCUGGACCGUUCGCGACUAUACCGGAGAGUGGGGGGUAACGAGGCGGCCGUGAGUGGGGUGUCAGGUACAGUGCUAAAGGUUGAAUACCAUUACAAUAUAUGGGACAAAUGUAUCUAUUCUAAACAAGUGGUUUUACUACAGUGUAGGGAGGGCAUUUUCGUAGGGUGAUUCUGAGUUUACGAGUUAGCCGAACUCUAAGUUAAAGACGACCUCAACUAAUAAGUUAAUUGAUAAGUAAUUAAGUUAAUAAAUGGCGCCAGCCUUUCAUUCUUUAUUUGUAUAAUAUACGGUUAAGUUUGUUAUUUAUAAGCUUUAAUUUAGUUUGUUUUCAAGCAAUACCAUGUAACAAAUACCUAAAUCACAUUAUGAUCUCAUACUUAUAUUAAUUGAAUGCAUUCGUUUUUUUUACUAUGUUUUUAGUUAAUUAUGACUACCCGUAUUUGUUUAACCUUUUCGACGCCGUGUCAAACACAAGCUGUCACGCGGACGCCACGUCACCGAAGUGUCAAAACUGAAAUUGAACUUUAUGCAUAUGCACGUAGGUCUAUGUUGCUCUGUGGUAUGUGACCGAUUAAUCAGUCUUUGGCGUUGAACCUGCGGUGCGGAUAUAUCGGUCAUUGGUUGGCGUCCAAAAGGUUAAACAUAUAUAGUGAACAAUGUUUUGUUACACCCUUCAAGGCCGAGUUCAAGGGUCCAUUAUGUAACCUAUAUGUAACAUACUGGUUUGCAAAUAAAUAUCUUAUCUUUGUAGGUAUAAUACAAAAAUACUAGAACUCAUUAUUUUAAGUACUUCAUACUUACAUAGGUAUGACUACAUGACCAGAAUGUUUACAAAGUCUUAAACAAACAGUUGUUUAUUAUGUCACCGAGUUAGCGUGUAAUUUGUAGCAAUUUCUAGUGUUAUAUUCUAGUCAUUUGAAAUAAACAUUUUUUUCUACA